rnacentral:lncRNA from 1 species
UUCUGAAAUGUAGGUACUUUUUAAAUGAACACGAGCGUAAAUGAUGUUUGUGUUGUACAUGUGUACAUAAUCUGAGAUGCUUUUUGAUUUUGUUUUUUUUUGUUGUGUAAUUUUGGUUGCAGCUGACUGUGCUACUGAUGAUGGAGUGUGGGGAGGAGAAGGAAGAGGAUUGGGGAGUAUGGGACAGUGAGAUUUUUUAUUGUAAAUGUGCAACAUGGUUCUUGUUUGGUAAAUUGUUCAAUUUAUCCGUAAGAAGGUGUACGAUGUCUGGGAAACUAGUUUAUGCAUGAAUAUUAUUAAAGAUUUCUCGAUGGACAAUAAAGCAUAGACACAAAUAAAGUAGACAACCUAGCUAUAAAGACAAUUAAUCAUUUACAGAAAAUGUUAAGAUAUAUGAGAAUGAUAUAUGUGUAAAAACAAAUAGAAUUGAUGAGUUUAAGUACAUGGAAUGACAUAGGAACCCACCUUUUGGAGUCACGGUAAAACAAUGCGCACAUUAUUCUAUGUCAAUGUGUACUUAGAACUUAUAGUGUACAUGUGUACACAGUUUUAAAACUCAAGAAAAUUAUGUACACAAGACUCUAACUUAUAGUGUAUAAGCUUCGUCUAAAGUGCAAAUUCAAUAUGUACAGAAAAAAUGAAAGCAUAAAUGUGUUGUGUACAACAAUAAAUAGAACAAUUUGAAAUAUCAAGUACAUAAACAAACACACAAAACACACAACGUGUAUGUAUAUAUGUAUCAAGCUAUCAAUGUAUCAAUGUAUAUACAUGUAUGAAGCUAUACAUGUAUCAAGGUAUAUACAUGUACAACGAUUUAUGCACUUUGAAAAUGUGGCCUAGUCUCGGACACUUGAGGGGUAACAGGGGAGGUUGGGGUGAAUUGGAUGUCGUCUGGUGGGGGUGUACGUGUGGAUGCGUAGGCUGGUGUCCAUUCGGAUAAUUGUGAUGAUGUACGCCGGUGUUGGAUGUAGCCGGUGAGUUGUACGUGUGGACGAUGAAUAUUGGUGUACAUCUGGAUAAUUAUGAUGAUGUAUGCCGGUGUCGUCUGGUUCAGGCUUCCAAUAAGUUGGUAGUACCCCCGAGAUAAGCAGAGUGUGGUCGAACGCAUUACCGGUGGUGCAAUGAAUGAUGUGUGGGGCGAUUUUGGUUACAUUGAUGCCAACAAUCACCUCGGGGCAUGAGAACCGCAAGUGUGUCGUCUAGGAAAAAGGAUCCCAAAAGUCAUGGUCAUAGCGACGGGGUUGAACCGUCGUCGGAUAUCUUCCAUUCACCGGCGAUAACCAUACAUUGGUCCGCCAUGAAAGAUAGAUGGAAGGAGAAACUAGAGUUAACGGCUUAGACGCAAUGUGAACAAAAAAAUUAAACAAACUUAGAACACAAACCUCGAGUUAUAAGAGUUUAGGAUCCAAUCAUCAGUAGGGUUAAAUUUGCUUGAUUAAUUAGUAAGCUUGAAAUUUCUAGGAUGAACAAUUUUGGAGAAGAUGACCAUGUGGAGAACCGAAGAAGGUGAGAAAUAAGAGAAUUAAUCAGGGCCGUCGAUUGGUGGUAAAUCUAAUGGUUGUGGUGAAGUGGCAAAUAUAUGUCUUAUCAAGAUCUGUUAAGUUUGAUCUGGGCCGUUUAAAUCUUUUCAGCAUCAAGGGCUGUGAAUAAAGCCUGCCAAAGUGAUAAGCUAGUUGGCAAUUCCCUGGUUAGAAUCGAACAAAUCAGUUAAGAUUUA